rnacentral:rRNA from 1 species
AUUGAACGCUGGCGGCAGGCUUAACACAUUAAAGUCGAGCGAGCGGCGGACGGGUGAGUAAUGUCUGGGAACCUGCCUUAUGGAGGGGGAUAACUACUAGAAACGGUAGCUAAUACCGCAUACCAUCAGAUGUGCCCAGAUGGGAUUAGCUAGAAGGUGGGGUAAUGGCUCACCUAGGCGACGAUCCCUAGCUGGUCUGAGAGGAUGAGCGGCCACACGGGACUGGGGACACGGUCCAGACUCCUACGGGAGGCACCAGUGGGGAAUAUUGCACAAUGGGCGAAAGCCUGAGUCAGCCAUGCCGCGUGUGGGAAGAAGGCCUUCGGGUUGUAAAGCACUUUCAGCGAGGAGGCGUUACUCGCAGAAGAAGCACCGGCUAACUCCGUGCCAGCAGCCGCGGUAAUAC